CGGGUGCACUGAUCCAGCCGGGCCUUUCCCUCUGUGGAACCCCAUGGCCUUCACUGGCUGUGGUGGGGAAACAGGACUUUUACUUUGAAAAAAUUAGAGUGCUCCAGGCAGGCCUAUGCUCGAAUACAUUAGCAUGGAAUAAUAGAAUAGGACGUGUGGUUCUAUUUUGUUGGUUUCUAGGACCGCCGUAAUGAUUAAUAGGGACAGUCGGGGGCAUCAGUAUUCAAUUGUCAGAGGUGAAAUUCUUGGAUCUAUUGAAGACUAACUACUGCGAAAGCAUUUGCCAAGGAUGUUUUCAUUGAUAAGGAACGAAAGUUAGGGGAUCGAAGACGAUCAGAUACCGUCGUAGUCUUAACUAUAAACUAUGCCGACUAGGGAUCGGACGAUGUUAUUCUUUGACGCGUUCGGCACCUUUCGAGAAAUCAAAGUGCUUGGGCUCCAGGGGGAGUAUGGUCGCAAGGCUGAAACUUAAAGAAAUUGACGGAAGGGCACCACCAGGGGUGGAACCUGCGGCUUAAUUUGACUCAACACGGGGAAACUCACCAGGUCCAGACACAGUGAGGAUUGACAGAUUGAGAGCUCUUUCUUGAUUCUGUGGGUGGUGGUGCAUGGCCGUUCUUAGUUGGUGGAGUGAUUUGUCUGCUUAAUUGCGAUAACGAACGAGACCUUAACCUGCUAAAUAGCCCGUACUGCUUUGGCGGUUCGCCGGCUUCUUAGGGGGACUAUCGG
rnacentral:rRNA from 1 species